AUUUAUCACAUUUAUAAAUUUUGCUAAAUUGCUCAAAAAUGACCAAAAUUUUACAUUUUCUCAAACAGGGUAAGGAACUUGGUUCCUCGAAUAACUUCCGGCCCGGACACCUGAGAGCAUGGCCGUCCAAGAAGAAAAUGUAGCCAUUGUUGCCAUCUAUCGACCACAGGUUAAAGAUUGGCAAUCCGUUGGAUACGGACCGAGUUAUAGGCAAAACUGGGUGCAACAAUGAGGAAAAUUUUACAUUUUCUCAAACAGGGUAAGGAACUUGGUUCCUCGAAUAACUUCCGACCCGGACACCUGAGAGCAUGGCCGUCCAAGAAGAAAAUGUAGCCAUUGUUGCCAUCUAUCGACCACAGGUUAAAGAUUGGCGAUCCGUUGGAUACGGACCGAGUUAUAGGCAAAACUUGGUGCAAAAAUGAGCCUUAGUAAAUUUUUAUAUUUUUGAAUUUUUUGAUUUUUUGAUUAUUUUUCACUCUUUUUUUUAUUUAAAGCAUUACUUGAGUGAAAAGAAACACAUUGCAACCGAUUGGCAUUAAAAUAAAACAAUUUCAUUUUUUUGCAAAAAUUCUCAAAAAAACGUAAGGGGUAAGCCUUAUGAAAUUUUCGAGUUGAAAAUUUUUUAAAAUUUUUUUUGUGAUUUUUUAUUCUAUUUUUAAUUUAAAGCAUUAUUUGAGUGAAAAGAAACACAUUGCAACAAAUUUGCAUGAAAAUAUAUCACAUUUAUAAAUUUUGCAAAAAUGCUCAAAAAUGAGGAAAAUUUUACAUUUUCUCAAACAGGGUAAGGAACUUGGUUCCUCGAAUAACUUCCGGCCCGAACACCUGAGAGCAUGGCUGUCCAAGAAGAAAAUGUAGCCAUUGAUGCCAUCUAUCGACCACAGGUUAAAGAUUAGCGAUCCGUUGGAUACCGACCGAGUUAUAAGCAAAAUUUUGUACAACAAUGAGGAAAAUUUUACAUUUUCUCAAACAGGGUAAGGAACUUGGUUCCUCGAAUAACUUCCGGCCCGGACACCUGAGAGCAUGGCUGUCCAAGAAGAAAAUGUAGCCAUUGAUGCCAUCUAUCGACCACAGGUUGAAGAUUGGCGAUCCGUUGGAUACGGACCGAGUUAUAGGCAAAACUUGGUGCAAAAAUGAGCCUUAGUAAAUUUUCUUUUUUUGAAUUUUUUGAUUUUUUUAUUAUUUUGCACUAUUUUUUUUAUUUAAAUCAUUACUUGAGUGAAAAGAAACACAUUGCAACCAAUUGGCAUUAAAAUAAAUCAAUUUCAUUUUUUUUGCAAAAUUUCCCAAAAAAACGUAAGGGGUAAGCCUUAUGAAAUUUUCGAGUUGAAAAUUUUUUAAAAUUUUUUUUCUGAUUUUUUAUUCUAUUUUUAAUUUAAAGCAUUAUUUGAGUGAAAAGAAACACAUUGCAACAAAUUUGCAUGAAAAUAUAUCACAUUUAUAAAUUUUGCAAAAAUGCUCAAAAAUGAGGAAAAUUUUACAUUUUCUCAAACAGGGUAAGGAACUUGGUUCCUCGAAUAACUUCCGACCCGGACACCUGAGAGCAUGGCCGUCCAAGAAGAAAAUGUAGCCAUUGUUGCCAUCUAUCGACCACAGGUUAAAGAUUGGCGAUCCGUUGGAUACGGACCGAGUUAUAGGCAAAACUUGGUGCAAAAAUGAGCCUUAGUAAAUUUUUAUAUUUUUGAAUUUUUUGAUUUUUUGAUUAUUUUUCACUCUUUUUUUUAUUUAAAGCAUUACUUGAGUGAAAAGAAACACAUUGCAACCGAUUGGCAUUAAAAUAAAACAAUUUCAUUUUUUUGCAAAAAUUCUCAAAAAAACGUAAGGGGUAAGCCUUAUGAAAUUUUCGAGUUGAAAAUUUUUUAAAAUUUUUUUUGUGAUUUUUUAUUCUAUUUUUAAUUUAAAGCAUUAUUUGAGUGAAAAGAAACACAUUGCAACAAAUUUGCAUGAAAAUAUAUCACAUUUAUAAAUUUUGCAAAAAUGCUCAAAAAUGAGGAAAAUUUUACAUUUUCUCAAACAGGGUAAGGAACUUGGUUCCUCGAAUAACUUCCGGCCCGAACACCUGAGAGCAUGGCUGUCCAAGAAGAAAAUGUAGCCAUUGAUGCCAUCUAUCGACCACAGGUUAAAGAUUAGCGAUCCGUUGGAUACCGACCGAGUUAUAAGCAAAAUUUUGUACAACAAUGAGGAAAAUUUUACAUUUUCUCAAACAGGGUAAGGAACUUGGUUCCUCGAAUAACUUCCGACCCGGACACCUGAGAGCAUGGCCGUCCAAGAAGAAAAUGUAGCCAUUGUUGCCAUCUAUCGACCACAGGUUAAAGAUUGGCGAUCCGUUGGAUACGGACCGAGUUAUAGGCAAAACUUGGUGCAAAAAUGAGCCUUAGUAAAUUUUCUUUUUUUGAAUUUUUUGAUUUUUUUAUUAUUUUGCACUAUUUUUUUUAUUUAAAUCAUUACUUGAGUGAAAAGAAACACAUUGCAACCAAUUGGCAUUAAAAUAAAUCAAUUUCAUUUUUUUUGCAAAAUUUCCCAAAAAAACGUAAGGGGUAAGCCUUAUGAAAUUUUCGAGUUGAAAAUUUUUUAAAAUUUUUUUUCUGAUUUUUUAUUCUAUUUUUAAUUUAAAGCAUUAUUUGAGUGAAAAGAAACACAUUGCAACAAAUUUGCAUGAAAAUAUAUCACAUUUAUAAAUUUUGCAAAAAUGCUCAAAAAUGAGGAAAAUUUUACAUUUUCUCAAACAGGGUAAGGAACUUGGUUCCUCGAAUAACUUCCGGCCCGGACACCUGAGAGCAUGGCUGUCCAAGAAGAAAAUGUAGCCAUUGAUGCCAUCUAUCGACCACAGGUUGAAGAUUGGCGAUCCGUUGGAUACGGACCGAGUUAUAGGCAAAACUUGGUGCAAAAAUGAGCCUUAGUAAAUUUUCUUUUUUUGAAUUUUUUGAUUUUUUUAUUAUUUUGCACUAUUUUUUUUAUUUAAAUCAUUACUUGAGUGAAAAGAAACACAUUGCAACCAAUUGGCAUUAAAAUAAAUCAAUUUCAUUUUUUUUGCAAAAUUUCCCAAAAAAACGUAAGGGGUAAGCCUUAUGAAAUUUUCGAGUUGAAAAUUUUUUAAAAUUUUUUUUCUGAUUUUUUAUUCUAUUUUUAAUUUAAAGCAUUAUUUGAGUGAAAAGAAACACAUUGCAACAAAUUUGCAUGAAAAUAUAUCACAUUUAUAAAUUUUGCAAAAAUGCUCAAAAAUGAGGAAAAUUUUACAUUUUCUCAAACAGGGUAAGGAACUUGGUUCCUCGAAUAACUUCCGACCCGGACACCUGAGAGCAUGGCCGUCCAAGAAGAAAAUGUAGCCAUUGUUGCCAUCUAUCGACCACAGGUUAAAGAUUGGCGAUCCGUUGGAUACGGACCGAGUUAUAGGCAAAACUUGGUGCAAAAAUGAGCCUUAGUAAAUUUUCUUUUUUUGAAUUUUUUGAUUUUUUUAUUAUUUUGCACUAUUUUUUUUAUUUAAAUCAUUACUUGAGUGAAAAGAAACACAUUGCAACCAAUUGGCAUUAAAAUAAAUCAAUUUCAUUUUUUUUGCAAAAUUUCCCAAAAAAACGUAAGGGGUAAGCCUUAUGAAAUUUUCGAGUUGAAAAUUUUUUAAAAUUUUUUUUCUGAUUUUUUAUUCUAUUUUUAAUUUAAAGCAUUAUUUGAGUGAAAAGAAACACAUUGCAACAAAUUUGCAUGAAAAUAUAUCACAUUUAUAAAUUUUGCAAAAAUGCUCAAAAAUGAGGAAAAUUUUACAUUUUCUCAAACAGGGUAAGGAACUUGGUUCCUCGAAUAACUUCCGGCCCGGACACCUGAGAGCAUGGCUGUCCAAGAAGAAAAUGUAGCCAUUGAUGCCAUCUAUCGACCACAGGUUAAAGAUUGGCAAUCCGUUGGAUACGGACCGAGUUAUAGGCAAAACUGGGUGCAACAAAGAGGAAAAUUUUACAUUUUCUCAAACAGGGUAAGGAACUCGGUUCCUCGAAUAACUUCCGGCGCGGACACCUGAGAGCAUGGCCGUCCAAGAAGAAAAUGUAGCCAUUGUUGUCAUCUAUCGACCACAGGUUAAAGAUUGGCGAUCCGUUGGAUACGGACCGAGUUAUAGGCAAAACUUGGUGCAAAAAUGAGCCUUAGUAAAUUUUCUUUUUUUGAAUUUUUUGAUUUUUUUUAUUAUUUUUCACUCUUUUUUUCAUUUAAAGCAUUACUUGAGUGAAAAGAAACACAUUGCAACCGAUUGGCAUUAGAAUAAAACAAUUUCAUUUUUUUUGCAAAAAUUCUCAAAAAAACGGAAGGGGUAAGCCUUAUGAAAUUUUCGAGUUGAAAAUUUUUUAAAAUUUUUUUUCUGAUUUUUUAUUCUAUUUUUAAUUUAAAGCAUUAUUUGAGUGAAAAGAAACACAUUGCAACAAAUUUGCAUGAAAAUAUAUCACAUUUAUAAAUUUUGCUAAAUUGCUCAAAAAAGACCAAAAUCUUACAUUUUCUCAAACAGGGGAAGGAACUUGGUUCCUCGAAUAACUUCCGGCCCGGACACCUGAGAGCAUGGCUGUCCAAGAAGAAAAUGUAGCCAUUGAUGCCAUCUAUCGACCACAGGUUAAAGAUUAGCGAUCCGUUGGAUACCGACCGAGUUAUAAGCAAAAUUUUGUGCAACAAUGAGGAAAAUUUUACAUUUUCUCAAACAGGGUAAGGAACUUGGUUCCUCGAAUAAAUUCCGACCCGAACACCUGAGAGCAUGGCCGUCCAAGAAGAAAAUGUAGCCAUUGAUGCCAUCUAUCGACCACAGGUUAAAGAUUGGCGAUCCGUUGGAUACGGACCGAGUUAUAGGCAAAACUUGGUGCAAAAAUGAGCCUUAGUAAAUUUUCUUUUUUUGAAUUUUUUGAUUUUUUUUAUUAUUUUGCACUAUUUUUUUUAUUUAAAUCAUUACUUGAGUGAAAAGAAACACAUUGCAACCAAUUGGCAUUAAAAUAAAUCAAUUUCAUUUUUUUUUGCAAAAUUUCCCAAAAAAAACGUAAGGGGUAAGCCUUAUGAAAUUUUCGAGUUGAAAAUUUUUUAAAAUUUUUUUUGUGAUUUUUUAUUCUAUUUUUAAUUUAAAGCAUUAUUUGAGUGAAAAGAAACACAUUGCAACAAAUUUGCAUGAAAAUAUAUCACAUUUAUAAAUUUUGCUAAAUUGCUCAAAAAAGACCAAAAUCUUACAUUUUCUCAAACAGGGGAAGGAACUUGGUUCCUCGAAUAACUUCCGGCCCGGACACCUGAGAGCAUGGCUGUCCAAGAAGAAAAUGUAGCCAUUGAUGCCAUCUAUCGACCACAGGUUAAAGAUUAGCGAUCCGUUGGAUACCGACCGAGUUAUAAGCAAAAUUUUGUGCAACAAUGAGGAAAAUUUUACAUUUUCUCAAACAGGGUAAGGAACUUGGUUCCUCGAAUAACUUCCGACCCGGACACCUGAGAGCAUGGCCGUCCAAGAAGAAAAUGUAGCCAUUGUUGCCAUCUAUCGACCACAGGUUAAAGAUUGGCGAUCCGUUGGAUACGGACCGAGUUAUAGGCAAAACUUGGUGCAAAAAUGAGCCUUAGUAAAUUUUCUUUUUUUUGAAUUUUUUGAUUUUUUUAUUAUUUUGCACUAUUUUUUUAUUUAAAUCAUUACUUGAGUGAAAAGAAACACAUUGCAACCAAUUGGCAUUAAAAUAAAUCAAUUUCAUUUUUUUUGCAAAAUUUCUCAAAAAAACGUAAGGGGUAAGCCUUAUGAAAUUUUCGAGUUGAAAAUUUUUUAAAAUUUUUUUUCUGAUUUUUUAUUCUAUUUUUAAUUUAAAGCAUUAUUUGAGUGAAAAGAAUCACAUUGCAACAAAUUUGCAUGAAAAUAUAUCACAUUUAUAAAUUUAGCUAAAUUACUCAAAAAUGACCAAAAUUUUACAUUUUCUCAAACAGGGUAAGGAACUUGGUUCCUCGAAUAACUUCCGGCCCGGACACCUGAGAGCAUGACUGUCCAAAAAGAAAAUGUAGCCAUUGAUGCCAUCUAUCGACCACAGGUUGAAGAUUGGCGAUCCGUUGGAUACGGACCGAGUUAUAGGCAAAACUUGGUGCAAAAAUGAGCCUUAGUAAAUUUUCUUUUUUUUUUUAAUUUUUUGAUUUUUUUAUUAUUUUGCACUAUUUUUUUAUUUAAAUCAUUACUUGAGUGAAAAGAAACACAUUGCAACCAAUUGGCAUUAAAAUAAAUCAAUUUCAUUUUUUUUGCAAAAUUUCCCAAAAAAACGUAAGGGGUAAGCCUUAUGAAAUUUUCGACUUGAAAAUUUUUUAAAAUUUUUUUUGUGAUUUUUUAUUCUAUUUUUAAUUUAAAGCAUUAUUUGAGUGAAAAGAAACACAUUGCAACAAAUUUGCAUGAAAAUAUAUCACAUUUAUAAAUUUAGCUAAAUUACUCAAAAAUGACCAAAAUUUUACAUUUUCUCAAACAGGGUAAGGAACUUGGUUCCUCGAAUAACUUCCGGCCCGGACACCUGAGAGCAUGGCUGUCCAAGAAGAAAAUGUAGCCAUUGUUGCCAUCUAUCGACCACAGGUUAAAGAUUGGCAAUCCGUUGGAUACGGACCGAGUUAUAGGCAAAACUGGGUGCAACAAAGAGGAAAAUUUUACAUUUUCUCAAACAGGGUAAGGAAC